GCCUUCGUGGUGCAGUGGUUGGCACGCUCGACGCGUAACCGAGAGGUCCGUGGUUCGAUUCCCGGCGAUUGCU
rnacentral:tRNA from 1 species